GGGGGAUAAGCCCAGCUAGGACAGGGCGCCGGCCUUCGGAGCCGGAGGUCGAGGGUUCAAAGCCAAAUGGUGGAAUUCCCUCCAGACCCGCCA
rnacentral:tRNA from 1 species